rnacentral:rRNA from 1 species
GAAGGUGUACUGUGAGGUAUGCUGGAGGUAUCAGAAGUGCGAAUGCUGACAUAAGUAACGAUAAAGCGGGUGAAAAGCCCGCUCGCCGGAAGACCAAGGGUUCCUGUCCAACGUUAAUCGGGGCAGGGUGAGUCGACCCCUAAGGCGAGGCCGAAAGGCGUAGUCGAUGGGAAACAGGUUAAUAUUCCUGUACUUGGUGUUACUGCGAAGGGGGGACGGAGAAGGCUAUGUUGGCCGGGCGACGGUUGUCCCGGUUUAAGCGUGUAGGCUGRUUUUCCAGGYAAAUCCGGAAAAUCAAGGCUGAGGCGUGAUGACGAGGCACUACGGUGCUGAAGCAACAAAUGCCCUGCUUCCAGGAAAAGCCUCUAAGCAUCAGGUAACAUCAAAUCGUACCCCAAACCGACACAGGUGGUCAGGUAGAGAAUACCAAGGCGCUUGAGAGAACUCGGGUGAAGGAACUAGGCAAAAUGGUGCCGUAACUUCGGGAGAAGGCACGCUGAUAYGUAGGUGAAGUCCCUYGCGGAUGGAGCUGAAAUCAGUCGAAGAUACCAGCUGGCUGCAACUGUUUAUUAAAAACACAGCACUGUGCAAACACGAAAGUGGACGUAUACGGUGUGACGCCUGCCCGGUGCCGGAAGGUUAAUUGAUGGGGUUAGCGGUAACGCGAAGCUCUUGAUCGAAGCCCCGGUAAACGGCGGCCGUAACUAUAACGGUCCUAAGGUAGCGAAAUUCCUUGUCGGGUAAGUUCCGACCUGCACGAAUGGCGUAAUGAUGGCCAGGCUGUCUCCACCCGAGACUCAGUGAAAUUGAACUCGCUGUGAAGAUGCAGUGUACCCGCGGCAAGACGGAAAGACCCCGUGAACCUUUACUAUAGCUUGACACUGAACAUUGAGCCUUGAUGUGUAGGAUAGGUGGGAGGCUUUGAAGUGUGGACGCCAGUCUGCAUGGAGCCGACCUUGAAAUACCACCCUUUAAUGUUUGAUGUUCUAACGUUGGCCCCURAUCGGGGUUGCGGACAGUGUCUGGUGGGUAGUUUGACUGGGGCGGUCUCCUCCUAAAGAGUAACGGAGGAGCACGAAGGUUGGCUAAUCCUGGUCGGACAUCAGGAGGUUAGUGCAAUGGCAUAAGCCAGCUUGACUGCGAGCGUGACGGCGCGAGCAGGUGCGAAAGCAGGUCAUAGUGAUCCGGUGGUUCUGAAUGGAAGGGCCAUCGCUCAACGGAUAAAAGGUACUCCGGGGAUAACAGGCUGAUACCGCCCAAGAGUUCAUAUCGACGGCGGUGUUUGGCACCUCGAUGUCGGCUCAUCACAUCCUGGGGCUGAAGUAGGUCCCAAGGGUAUGGCUGUUCGCCAUUUAAAGUGGUACGCGAGCUGGGUUUAGAACGUCGUGAGACAGUUCGGUCCCUAUCUGCCGUGGGCGCUGGAGAACUGAGGGGGGCUGCUCCUAGUACGAGAGGACCGGAGUGGACGCAUCACUGGUGUUCGGGUUGUCAUGCCAAUGGCACUGCCCGGUAGCUAAAUGCGGAAGAGAUAAGUGCUGAAAGCAUCUAAGCACGAAACUUGCCCCGAGAUGAGUUCUCCCUGACUCCCUGAGAGUCCUGAAGGAACGUUGAAGACGACGACGUUGAUAGGCCGGGUGUGUAAGCGCAGCGAUGCGUUGAGCUAACCGGUACUAAUGAACCGUGAGGCUUAACCUUACAACGCCGAAG